rnacentral:rRNA from 1 species
GACGAACGCUGGCGGCGUGCUUAACACAUGCAAGUCGAACGGAAAGGCCCUGCUUUUGUGGGGUGCUCGAGUGGCGAACGGGUGAGUAACACGUGAGUAACCUGCCCUUGACUUUGGGAUAACUUAAGGAAACUGGGGCUAAUCUCGGACAGGAGCUCCUGCUGCAUGGUGGGGGUUGGAACGUUUCGGCGGUUGGGGAUGGACUCGCGGCUUAUCAGCUUGUUGGUGGGGUAGUGGCUUACCCAGGCUUUGACGGGUAGCCGGCCUGUGAGGGUGACCGGCCACAUGGGGACUGAGAGACGGCCCAGACUCCUACGGGAGGCAGCAGUGGGGAAUAUGGCACAAUGGGCGGAAGCCUGAUGCAGCAACGCCGCGUGCGGGAUGACGGCCUUCGGGUUGUAAACCGCUUUCGCCUGUGACGAAGCGGGAGUGACGGUAAUGGGUAAAGAAGCACCGGCUAACUACGUG